UAUGAUUACCGCCAGUAAGCGUUCUAUCGCAGUCGGUUGAAAUAAAAGUGCAAGAACAUUUCAGUGAGUUGUCAGAAUGGAUUAGCAUCAUGAAAAAAAAAACGCCCAUCAUGACAAUCCGCCCAUAAAUAGGCAUGCAACAUUGCCUGGUCGAAUCGGUACGAUCAGUAUCUUUCUCUAGAAAUUCCGUCCAGAAACGUGACUUUUUUGCUCUAAAAAUGCGUUCGUUGCAUCAGCAAGCAUUCACCCACAUCCCAGAGAGCUGCCGCAUUAUUAUUAUUAUUUUUUUUUUGGUCUGUGUUUUUUCCUGAAUGCCCAAGAAAAUGAUCAUAAGUUCAAGUAUCUCAUAGAAAGUGUGCGGUGCUGCUGUGCAGAUACGUUUUUUUUUUCUAGAAUUUUUUUCAUUUAGUUUGUUUAAGUGCGGUGCGGUUUGUUUUGGUGUGUGCGGUUUUGUGUGCACAGCUGAUAUUGUUCUCUCUCAUCCGUUUGCUGCUUAGAAGAUUGUCGUUGAUUAUUAUCAUCGGGUUUAUUUAUUCCAUUUUUGAGAGAAAAUAGCAAACAUAAGCCAAAAGUGAUUGACGGGGCAAGUUACUGAAAGUAUCUUAAACAAAAAAAAAAUGGUAUCUAUUACCCGCGUUUUAGAGAGAUGCGGAUCGUGAUAAUGUGAGAGUAAACAAUUUAUUUCUAUACGUGUGUUCCUAAUUUUAUUCUCAUUCCUAAACGAAAAACUUCGAAGAAGAACAAACAACAACUGCUAAAGAUCAAUAUAAAACAGAUGAUGUAUCUUUUAUAAUUUCUUAAGUAUCUUUUAUAUGAUCGGCGGUGUUUUUCAAUUAUCUUUUUGCAUAAAAUUUAUGAGAAAAUAAACCGUAAACCUAAUAGCAUGUGUGUGGACUUUGUCUAUAAUCAAUACAACACAAAUCCAUAUGAAUUACCUAUCUACUCUCUCAAUGAAAAUUCAAUUUCCAAUUCACUUGAAGAGAUUUAUUUUGAAUUUUAUUGCCGCUACCCGUUUAUUAUUAUUUUAAGAACUCAAUUUGUACCUUUUAAGAUUUGUUUUUGUAUCUUUUUCUCAUUUUUAAUGAUCUUCUUCUUUUGAACGCAAAAUUUGAAUAUAAAAUAAUUAAGUUGAAUCAGAAUGAACGCACAAACGCAUCUAUUAGUUAUUGUAUCUUCUUAUAAUAUCUUAUAGAUACAUAAAUAUAUUCAAAUGAAUUCAGUUUUUUUUUUUAAUUGAGAGAGAGAAUUAUUUAAGAUAGUUUAUUUGUAAUAAUUUUUAUUUGUGUUGAAUGAGUGAAAGAAAAACAAAUCAUUUUUCUCUCAUUCUUCAUUCGAGUUGAAGAAAUCACUAUAAACGAGAGGAGAGAUAGGUUAAAUAAUAAUAAUAUGUAGGCAAUAAAAAAAAAGAAA